rnacentral:tRNA from 1 species
GAACCAUGGCUGGGCGGCAGAGCAUCUGCUUUGCAUGCAGGAGGUCCCGGGUUCAAACCCCGGCAUGUUCA